rnacentral:lncRNA from 1 species
CCUACCUCUUCAACGAGUAUUUUAAAUAAUCCCACAGUACCCCCAAAAAAUGCCUUUCGUAAACUACCAUUUUUCUUCAUAACUAGCUCUGACUUUGCUGAUAGCUAUUUUAUUGAGGGAAAAUGUAUUUACUAUGACUGUGAUAUGCGGUCGUCCCACAUAUUUUAAAAUGAACGCAGUAAUUGUAAGUCGCUCUGGAUAAGAGGCUAAGAGCAUCUGCUAAAUGUCAAAAACACUCUUCACGAUACUUUAGUAAGGUUAGGAGAAUUAAAAUAGCAGGUUAGGAGACUGAGGUCAGGAAAAGGGUUCAGGGUUAUCAAAAAUGCUCUCCUAACAUGCUACGAACACUUUGCAUCGAAGUGGAGUGAAAAGUGUCCUUAAAACAACAGUUUAUGUUGAUUACUUUUUUCAAAUCCAAUGCAUUUUCCACGUAUAUUCCACUACACAAUAAAUUGUAAAAACAUUUUCAAAUCCAAUGUAUUUUCCACGUAUAUUCCACUACACAAUAAAUUGUACAAUUAUGUUGAAACAACAUUGAUUUAAUCCGUUUGUGCCUGUGGGAUGACACAGCCAGCGUCAUCUGGGUUCUUUGCAGCGUCCUCUAGUUCAGACAACAUCCAAACAUAUUUCUGACAAACACUGACGACAUUCAGAUCCUUCUGUUCUCCGCCACUGCCCUGCCCACCUCCCUCCCCUUCCUCUCUCUGUUCUCUCCUUUCCUCCUCCUGAAUAACGGUCAGAAACCGACUUCCUCUGACCACGCGCAGAACGGGGCUGUGUGACUACCCGGGGCAAGUGUCCUGCCCUGCCCACACAGCAAAAUAAAUUCAAUAUGUCGACCGCGAUGUCCCGUUAUAACGGAUUUAACGGCUCUCUGGCAAAGCAAGCGGGAUGAGUUUUAAGUUAUAGCUUGCUCGGUUGUUUGGAACAUUUUGAUUCUUGACUUUCUUCAUUUUUGUUUAGAAAACAAUAAGAUCCCCGCACGCCACAUGGAAAGCAAAAAGGAAGUGCAACUAGCUGAGGAAAAAUGGAGUAAAAAGAACACGGAGAGGUUUAGAAAGUAAAUAAUCAUCUCCUUAUCCUUUAUCCCUGGCUCGGCACUGGAGAAGCCUCUUCAGAAGAUUGUGAAUGAUGGUGUGAUGGUGUUGGAGGAGGAGUGUGGAGGUGUGUGUGAGCCAAGCCAGGGGGAAGCACCAUGCAGGCAGGAGGAGAGAAAGCGGCCAUCUCCCCAGGGUGUCCUGCUAUCUCUAGGCCCGGUGAUGAUGGUAGGAGGGGGCCGCACUCUAGAUGUAGUAGGGGGUUUCCUGACUUUCCUGACUCUGCAAGGUCCAGGGCUGUGGAUGGGGGUGCUGAUGGCUGUUACCGGGGCAACACUGACCAUCGCUGGGCUCUGUAUUUUAAUGACAACGCUACAGGUGUCGGAUGUACCUGGACACUUCCUGUUACACCCCCGCACAGGAACGCGCUAUAGCCCACACCAGGCCCUAGCCAUCCAGAGAAGGUUGGACCGGAUACGCAGAGAGAUGUCUGAGGACUCUGUGCGAGUGCCCCCCUCUCCACCCCUCCCCUUGCCCCCCACCCCUCCUCCCUGGGACCUGGAGGCACCCCCCUCCUACGACUCUGUCAUGAAGAGCCGGGGUCCCUCUGACCUCUGAGGGCUGAGGAGACUACUAUACUCUACUGUUCUGUAACUUUGGACUAUUCCCUUUGUGCCAUUACAGUGAAGUAAAUCAAGCACACCCGUGCUGGGAGAGACGUUGUUCUGGAAUGGAGGGGCUGUAAGGGGUUGGGCGCCUCAGCGUUGUUUACAUGUUAACAUGACAGGUUUACAUAUUUGUUUGAAGAAUGAGGAGUGUGUUUAUAAUGCUACUAUUAAGACUACUACAGUGUGGUACACUGCACUCCUAUAAAGACAUAUAUAACAAAUAUAUUUUUUUUUCUUACUUUCCACCACCUGAAGUUGUUUAUGUCACUUUUCAAGUCCGCUCGAUGCCCAUAUAUUUGUAGUGGCACACUGAGCUACACCAGGCAGCGAGGCCAGCUGGCAGCAUCUACCCAGCACUAAGCAUUCUCUAUGCAGCAGCACUCAGCCUUUAUUACCAGUCCAAAUGGAUAACCCAGCCUUUAAAACCACUGUCUGACUUUUUUGCUGCUUUGGACUCCAUUAGCUGUUUGUGCUGUGACUGCUUGGGGAGGUUGUGUCAUUCUCCAGUGUGUGAGUGCGGGUGUGUUUCUGUGGUCAUGUAUGCACCACGGAUUCUUUCUAUUCACACAGCUGACAUCAGGAUAGACGGAAGAUCUCAACCAGAAGUGCCUUGUUGUUACAGCACUAGACGCUUGUUGUCACAGCACACGGUUAUCCACAGCAUUAUUCUCUCUCUCUCUGCCCCAUUGCUGCAGGGUUCCAUUCUAUCCACUGUUGCACUUCCUGUUUGACUGUGAUGUCAUGAUCAACUUUAGUAAAUGAAUAGCCAAAGAUCUCUGAGUGGUUCUUGUCUCAGUUGGACUAAGUACAGUGUGUUAUUACUCAGUUUCUUUGUUCUGUUCUAACCUCACUUACACUUGAAGUAAAUGCUUUCUCAAGGAGAGAGGAAAAUAGGACAGAGAGUUGGGGAGCUGAGCUGUG